GAUGAAGAACGUAGCGAAAUGCGAUAAGUAAUGUGAAUUGCAGAAUUCAGUGAAUCAUCGAAUCUUUGAACGCACAUUGCGCCCGCCAGAAUUCUGGCGGGCAUGCCUGUUCGAGCGUCAUUUCAACCCUCGGUCUCCCUCCGGGAGAGACCGGCGUUGGGGACCGGCACUUACCCCGCCGGCCCCGAAAUGAAGUGGCGGCCCGUCCGCGGCGACCUCUGCGUAGUAACUCCACUCGCACCGGGACCCGGGCGCGGCCACGCCGUAAAACCCCCAACUUCCGAAUGUUGACCUCGAAUCAGGUAGGAAUACCCGCUGAACUUAAGCAUAUCAUAAGCGGAGA
rnacentral:misc_RNA from 1 species